AACGAACGCUGGCGGCAGGCUUAACACAUGCAAGUCGAGCGCCCCGCAAGGGGAGCGGCAGACGGGUGAGUAACGCGUGGGAACGUACCCUUUGCUACGGAAUAGCUCCGGGAAACUGGAAUUAAUACCGUAUGUGCCCUACGGGGGAAAGAUUUAUCGGCAAAGGAUCGGCCCGCGUUGGAUUAGCUAGUUGGUGGGGUAAUGGCCUACCAAGGCGACGAUCCAUAGCUGGUCUGAGAGGAUGAUCAGCCACAUUGGGACUGAGACACGGCCCGAACUCCUACGGGAGGCAGCAGUGGGGAAUAUUGGACAAUGGGCGCAAGCCUGAUCCAGCCAUGCCGCGUGAGUGAUGAAGGCCUUAGGGUCGUAAAGCUCUUUCACCGGAGAAGAUAAUGACGGUAUCCGGAGAAGAAGCCCCGGCUAACUUCGUGCCAGCCGCCGCGGUAACAC
rnacentral:rRNA from 1 species